ACACGAGGAAGGAGGUGGUCUGGAAGUGAUUGAUAUUCGGACGCGUGAGGUGGCUACCCGCUAGCUGCUCGAGACGACGGAAUUCACCGACCGCGCGCGGCUGGCGAAUCCCAGGUAGUCACCCGGCCCCCGAGUCCCCGGUCCGUCCGAUCGGGACCGCCGACUGCGGAGCGAUCCGU
rnacentral:sRNA from 12 species